rnacentral:rRNA from 1 species
GUAACGGCGAGUGAAGCGGCAACAGCUCAAAUUUGAAAUCUGGCCUCUUCGGGGUCCGAGUUGUAAUUUGUAGAGGGUGUUUCGGGCGCGAUGCCGGUCUAAGUUCCUUGGAACAGGACGUCGCAGAGGGUGAGAAUCCCGUACGCGACCGGCGAUCAAGCCUGUGUGAAGCCCCUUCGACGAGUCGAGUUGUUUGGGAAUGCAGCUCAAAAUGGGUGGUAAAUUUCAUCUAAAGCUAAAUAUUGGCCAGAGACCGAUAGCGGACAAGUAGAGUGAUCGAAAGAUGAAAAGCACUUUGGAAAGAGAGUCAAACAGUACGUGAAAUUGUUGAAAGGGAAGCGCUUGCAAUCAGACCGGUCCGGAGGCGAUCAGCCGCUGCUCGUUCAGCGGUGCACUCGCCUGCGAUCCGGCCAGCAUCGGUUUGGGCGGUGGGAUAAAAGUUCCGGGAAUGUAGCUUCUCUCGGGGAGUCUUAUAGCCCGGGUCGCAAUGCCGCCCGCCCGGACCGAGGACCGCGCUUCGGCUAG